rnacentral:tRNA from 1 species
CUCCCUAUAGUUCAACUGGAUAGAACGAGUGCCUCCUAAGCGCUAGAUCGGGGUUCGAGUCCCUGUGGGGAGGCCA